GUAGUUACUUGUUAGAAGCGUCGGAGUCGCUACCCCUUCGACCGAGUCGGCGACACUGGGCGCGCGCGAAGAGAGAGGGAGUGAAACAAAAGACGACGAAGACGACGACGACACAGUGAGAGCUUCCACCAUCCCAAUCCCCCUUCACAAACCCUAACCCUAGUUUUCCUGAACCCUUCCUCUUCGUCCAUUGUCCUUUUCUUCGAUGAGCCGAUCGGGGAUCAGCUCAAAGGUCUUCCAUGGCGGAAACUUCCUCGGAGAGGCUGAGGUUUACCCCGCCAAGGACCAGGGAUUCACCUUCCCCAGCAACGAGAUCCGCAUCAACUACCUCUCCCCUCCCAGCGAGCGGUGCCCGCCCCUCUCCGUGCUUCAAACCAUCUCCCCCUUCUCCGUCCGGUGCAAGGUCCUCGCCAAGUCCCCCAUCGACCAAUCCCUCCACCGCCUCUACCUAUCCUGCUUCCAAGAGUUCAAGAGCGCCAUCGUGGUGAUCGGGAGCGAAGAGCUCCACUUGGUAGCGAUGCCGAGCAAGAUUGAGAAGGUGCCGUGCUUCUGGUGCUGCUCGGUCCAGGCCGGACUUUAUGCCUCUUGCUUGGGGUUGCUUAACCUUCGAUGCCUCGCCAUUGUGUUCGAUCUUGAUGAGACACUCAUCGUAGCCAACACGAUGAAGUCCUUUGAGGACAGGAUUGAGGCUUUAUCCAGAAGGAUAGAUGGGGAGGAGGAUCCUGUUAGGGUUUCGGGCAUGUCUGCUGAGCUCAAACGGUAUGUGGAGGAUAAGGAUUUGCUGAAGCAGUACAUAGAGACCAAUACUGUCGUUGACAAUGGGAGGGUGGUGAAUGUUCAGAAUGAGCAAGUUCUGCCGGUUCACGGAAGCCAGGAGGGGGGCAUUGUUCGACCUGUUAUAAGGUUACCGGAAAGGAAUGUUGUUCUGACUCGGAUCAAUCCAGAGGUCCGUGAUACUAGUGUUUUUGUACGACUACGACCGGCUUGGGAGGACCUGAGAAGCUAUUUAACUGCAAAAGGACGCAAAAGGUUUGAGGUCUAUGUAUGCACAAUGGCUGAAAGAGACUAUGCCCUCGAGAUUUGGAGGCUUCUGGACCCAGAAUCCCAUCUAAUAAGCACAAAACAACUUUUGGAUCGUAUAGUAUGUGUAAAGUCAGGUUCCAAGAAGUCACUGCAACAUGUUUUUCAAGACGGAGCUUGCCAUCCAAAGAUGGCAAUGGUUAUUGACGACCGUCUUCAGGUUUGGGAUGAUAAAGAUCAGCCUCGUGUUCAUGUUGUGCCUGCAUAUACUCCAUAUUAUGCUCCGCAAGCUGAGAUGGCAAGUCCUGUUCCUGUUCUCUGUGUCGCAAGAAAUGUCGCAUGCAAUGUUCGAGGUGGAUUUUUCAAAGAAUUUGAUGAGAAUCUGUUGCGAAAAAUAUUUGAAAUAUCUUACGAAGAUGAGAUAGUCAAUUUAACGUAUGCUCCUGAUGUGGGCGAUUAUUUAAUCUCUGAGGAUACAAAUAUUGCAUCUAACAACAAUAAAGAUGCUCCAAUGUCAGAGGGUAUGAGUGGAUCUGAAGUGGAGAGAAGAUUGAAUAGGCCGGUGCAUCUUGGAGAUGAACGACAGAUACAGUUUCAAGCACCAUCAACCCGUCCGGCAGAUGGUGAGAUAUCAUUGCCCCGAGCACCUGCUGGAAAUAAAAAUCUGCAAUCUGAAGUCGGACCCCCCACUGUAACCCAAUCUUCCUUAUUUGUCGGUGUACUGCAAGAAAUAGGACGCCGUUGUGGUUCUAAGGUUGAGUUCAGGUCUACUGUAGCAAACAAUAAGAACUUACACUUCUCUGUUGAGGUAUUAUUUAGCACUGAAAAGAUAGGAAUUGGAAUGGGAAGAACAAGGGAGGAAGCUCAAAUACAAGCUGCUGAGAAUGCUCUUCGCAACUUGGCAAGUAGCUAUUUGUCGUUUAUUGCACCAACCACCGGUAGUCUUCAAAAAGACUUGGACAAAUGUUUGCUUGGAAAUGAAAAUGGAUUUCUACGGGAUGCUCCUAAUCCUGUUAAGGAUGAGUUAUCUGGGCGAGAAGCGCAACCAAGUACAUCGGGACAAUUGAGCCAAUCAAAUAAUUCAGAUAGGUUGUCCCUCACCUUGCGUGGUAUUAAAGAACUUUGCUUCGAGGGUCAAGAUAUAGUCUUCCGCGAUCAAGCCCCAAUUUCAGACUCACUCAGUAAAGGCGAGUACCAUCUUCAGGCCGAAUUAGGAGGACAGGUUUUAGGAAGGGGAGUUGGUUUGAGCAAAGAGGAAGCUAAACUUCAGUUGCUUAUUUCAGGCUGCUGAAAUGGCACUGAAGACUCUGAAAGAGACUGUUAAUCCACAAGUAUAGAAAUUGUGAAGCCUCCAAGUGGUUAAUCUCAUUUUGCCCGGUCUUUACAAGCUUUUUCAACUGGUCUUUACAAGCUCUUUCAACUAAAGUCCCAAGGCGCAACUCAUGGAAGGGUCACCGAGUUCAUAAUCCUCUUUGGUACCAUGAAUUGUUAUCCGUGGUAACUUUAUUAGUCUCCUUUUUCUGCUAGUAUUUUUUCUUUGUUUUUUUUUUUCUGAAAUCCCUCACAAAUUUCAACUACAUAACUAGCAGUAGUUAGAAUUUUAACUAACCAAUAGAUGAAGAUCAGAUGACGCCUUUGAAUUAACCAAAAAUCCCACAUUUUUUUGGAAAUAUCUUGUUUGUUUUGAACUCGGUUAAGGGUAUGCUUGAAUUUUAUCUUAAUUGUAAAGGUUUUGGAGUUCAAUUUUGUGUUUUACCAUUAUCUUAUUUGUAAACUUUGUCAUGAUGAUAAGAAUAUUCCCUAAUUCCGUAUGUCAAACUUGAUGUCUUGUUUGA